ensembl:lncRNA
GAAAGAUGUACCCUUGGGCCCCCCUUCUCGAUUCAGAGAUGGUCAGCAUCCUGACGGCCCAAUGGACAAAGCUGUCUCUCAGUCUGCUGGUUCUGGCCCGGAGGCUCUUCAGUAUCCUUCCUGAUGGCAGCAAACUGAAGACGCUGUUGAAGGGAUGAGUGGAGUCACCUGUAAUGGAGAGGACCUUCCAGAUAGGCAGAACCCAGUGCAGGAGUCAUACCACACAGUGAUGCAGCUGUUUGCAGAGGAAGUAGAGUCGCUGUUGGUCUUCUCCACAUUCAGGGACAAGUUGUUGUUGCUGUACCACUCUGGCAGUUGGAUUUGAAGAAGGUCGUUCGUGGCUCAAGAGUUGGCAGCUCGCCUUGUGAUCAGAAGAUUGCCGGUUCGCGCCCCGGCUCGGACGCUCUUCGUCGUUGUGUCCGUGGUCAGGACUCUUCACCUACCGCCUACUAGUGAUGGCCAAAGGGGCAGAUGUGGCAGCCUCGCCUCUGUCAGUCUGUCCCAGGGCAUGCAAUCAAUUACUGUUCAAACCAACGGUUAACUGUAUAUUUACGUAUUAUGAUUCAUAUUUCCACAUUCAGUGACCUUGUUUAUAGGUAAUUUCAUUGUUUGAUCGCGUAAAAAUGUUCCUAAUUUAAUGUCUAAAAGCACUUGGAAAAGGCAGAAUCCCAUGUCAAAUUAGCGCAACAAACUCUAUUUUCAUUACUGGAAAUAACCGUAUUUUUAUGGGACAGUUAUUUUCUGUUAUUUCACGGUCGUAUUUUGGCGCCCAG